CCCACAAGCCCUUGCUCCACUUGCCCAGAAUGCUUUGUAAUCUCAUCUGGGCCGAGAACGAGAAGGUAUUUAACCUGGUGGCAAAGGUUUUUGGGGCUCUUUUGGACUUCCGUUUUGGAGCAGAGACAUGGCUCUUUCCAUAAUGUAGAAAAGAGUUCAAGUGGAAUUCAUAAGACGUGGAAGCAAAGAAUUACAGAAGUUCAGUCAGAAAGGAAUUUUGAGUCAUGCUUGACUCUUCAUGAUCCCAUUUGGAAUUUUCUUGGCCAAGAUAUUGGAAUGGUUUACCAUUUUCUUCUCCAGCUCACUUUAGAUGAGGAAACUGAGACAAAGAGGGUUGUGACUUGCUCAAGACUUCAAGCUAAAUCCUCAGAAGGCCACAUGUUGUUAACAUCAUCUCAGAAUUAA
rnacentral:lncRNA from 1 species